rnacentral:lncRNA from 1 species
CUUUCGUAGUGAUUAGCUUACUAAGGAACUGAAAAUGGGCCCCUUGUACAAGCUGAGCUGCCCCGGAGGGAGGGAGGAGUUCCCUGGGCUUCUGGCACCUGUUUCUAGGCCUAACCAUUAGUACUUACUGUGCAGGGAACCAAACCAAGGUCUGAGAAAUGCGGACACCCCGAGCGAGCACCCCAAAGUGCACAAAGCUGAGUAAAAAGCUGCCCCCUUCAAACAGAACUAGACUCAGUUUUCAAUUCCAUCCUAAAACUCCUUUUAACCAAGCUUAGCUUCUCAAAGGCCUAACCAAGCCUUGGCACCGCCAGAUCCUUUCUGUAGGCUAAUUCCUCUUGCCCAACGGCAUAUGGAGUGUCCUUAUUGCUAAAAAGGAUUCCGUCUCCUUCAAAGAAGUUUUAUUUUUGGUCCAGAGUACUUGUUUUCCCGAUGUGUCCAGCCAGCUCCGCAGCAGCUUUUCAAAAUGCACUAUGCCUGAUUGCUGAUCGUGUUUUAACUUUUUCUUUUCCUGUUUUUAUUUUGGUAUUAAGUCGUUGCCUUUAUUUGUAAAGCUGUUAUAAAUAUAUAUUAUAUAAAUAUAUUAAAAAGGAAAAUGUUUCAGAUGUUUAUUUGUAUAAUUACUUGAUUCACACAGUGAGAAAAAAUGAAUGUAUUCCUGUUUUUGAAGAGAAGAAUAAUUUUUUUUUUCUCUAGGGAGAGGUACAGUGUUUAUAUUUUGGAGCCUUCCUGAAGGUGUAAAAUUGUAAAUAUUUUUAUCUAUGAGUAAAUGUUAAGUAUCGUAUUAAAUACUU